AGGGGCACGACAUUGCUCACAUUGCUUCCAGUAUUUUUUCAGCCCGCCUUGUGCGGGUUUUUUUUC
rnacentral:antisense_RNA from 1 species